ensembl:lncRNA
GCACGCGGCCUCGUGGUCGCCAGCCCGCGUAUCUCCGGCCGGCGCGACACUAGGCCAGCGCUGGUGGCUCGGAGGUGAAGCCCCGCCGUCUCUGAAGACGGUUAAGGGGGUCUUUACCCUCAAGACUAGGGCUGUCCGCGAGUGAGACUCAAACGCUGAGGUGAAAACAUCCGCGGAAUAUGGAGACCGAACCACACACAGGCCGACCGUAAGGAAACGUCUCGAACACUGAGUGCCCAAAAGACCAACGGUCUGUGCCCCACAGCCUUACCUGCCCCAGCCCCUGCCCAGGCUCGCCAGUCGCUCAGAUCAAUGGAUCGCAGGCCCUGCUGUCGCUCUCUGGGGCAUUCGCACUCGCAGUAACUUUAUCAAGUCUCACGGCAGCUUCUGCGCUAAUUUCCUGGUUCUAACCUAUGGUCUUCAAGGUCCUGUUUUUCAAAUCUGACUGGCUAGCCUCAGGAAAAAACGAAAAGGCUGGAGCCUCUCCCCUCCACCUGCAUGCACAUUGUAUUCUUCCUCCGGUUCCCGGCAGUUCAGCACUCGAGUCACGACCACUGCGUAUUAGUUGCAACAGUCGUGGUGUCUAGAAAGUUCCAAAAAAGCGAGUUAACACCUAUGGGUUCAAAUGGCACAGUGACCACUUCAGACAAGGUUGCAUGUGUGGAUGCCACAGAGGCCAAACGCAUAGGAUUCCCUGGAACUGGAGUCAUUAAAGGUUAUGAACCACCUGUCAUGGAGCCCGGGAAAUAAAGUGUGGUGGUUUGAAGAGCACUUAAAGCCAUCCAAGCAUCUCCCCACUUCCACACCCACUCCCCCCCCCUUUUUUUUUGAGAGUCUCUGUGUAACCCAGACUGUAUCGAGUUCCUACUUUUCUUUGACCACAUUUUAAUUAUUUAUGUGUGGAUGUGAAUGAAUUGGAGAGCAAUCUUCAAAAGUCCGUUCCUUCCCUCCAACACGUGAGUCCUGUGGAGAGAGAACUGAACUCGGAUAAAAUUUGAUGGCAAGCACUUUUAUCCCCUAAACCAUCUCAGAGGCUCCUUGAUAAAGCUUUUGAGCUUAACAUUUUAGUUCUACUAUAUGUCCUGAUUGUGUUACUUUCGUAUCUUAUCC